UGAAUUUUUGUUGUAAUUUUAUUAAUUUGAUAAUAUAUAUAUUUAUAUGCAUCUAUUUUAGAAAUUAUUUUAAACAUGUUAAAGGUUGUGCUAUUACAAGUUAUUUUAAUUUAUUUCCGUCAGUUUGUUUAUUCACUUAAAUUCCAUGUUAGCAUGUAUUGUUGUAAUGAGUCAGUGGCGGAUCCAAAUGGGGGGGAGGGUUAAACCCCUUUUUAUUUUGACAAGCAAUUCAUUGGAAUGGGGAUAUAUAGAUGGAAACCCCCCACUCCCCAUUAAUCCUGGGUUUGGAACUCCUCUUUUAAAUAUGGCUGGAUCCGCCCCUGUGAGUUAUCACCUGUGUUUAUAAAACCAUUGUAUUGUUUUGUAUCAUCCUUAGCAAUAUUUUUUAUGAUUUGAUAAAUUUAUUUCUUUAUUAUGUUUUUGCAUGAGUUAGAUACAAAUCAAUCAUUUUCUUUUAAUUUGAAUUAUUUUUUUGGGUGAGGGGUAAGAUCUUUUCUUUAAAAGUUGGUGGAUCGUUUGAUUUAGAAAGAAAGGGAGACAAUAAAGCUUGUAUAUUCUUUGUGUUGUAUGUUAUUGAAAAAAUAAUAUUUUUUUUAUCA
rnacentral:lncRNA from 1 species